AAGGCUUUAAGUUAAUAAAACUAAUAACCUUCAAAGUUGGAAUUAAAAAUUAUCUUUUAAGCCUUA
rnacentral:tRNA from 6 species